UCAUCUUGCUAGUAGGAGUGCCACCACUUCAUACCAAUAUCCUGCCUCUCACAUCCAAGACUGUUCCAUAUUUAUAACCACCUCCUAUUACUAGAUCACUGAGGACCAUGGAGAUAGCUGGAGUGUAUCUCCAAGAGAUCAGACGUGUUCCCUACUGAGCCAAAUGGACAAUAAGGUAAUCAGAAAGCAGGGGGGGAGUGGAGUUUCUGCAGAGCUCAGGGCUGAGAGAAGAGCGAGCCAGCAGAGAUCUCUGCUGGGAUGGAGGAGGGAGCUGUGACCUGCUGGAGCAGGGUUUGGUUAACAAUUCCACAGCUCGAGCCUUCAACAGGACAUGGAGCCAACCCAGGACAGGCUGGUGUGCAGGAAACCUUGUCAGGGCAGCGAGGGCUCUGCAGGGAGGGAGUGUAGGUGCACAGCACCUGCUGCAUCCCACCAGGCACCUCAUUUCCUGACUUGCUGCUGCAGGAGCCCUCAGCUACCUGGGCUGCAGCUGUGCCUGAAACAACAGUGCAGCCCCAAGCCUGAAUUCAUUUUUCCUUGAAAUCUGUGGGGAUAGAGUGCACUUCACUCACUUUCUGCUGAGGCCUGCCCUUCCUGCCAUGGGCUCAGUGACCCCACAAAGAUGAGCAGAUUUGUACACAAGGUACAUACAGGAUAAACUAGGGCCACAUCAGUGGGAAAGGCCAGAUGUGUGCUCCUUUAAAUCAUAAUCCUUCAUGUAAUAUCACACUUAGUUGUCAUAGAAACCAUGGCAUCACUAAGACUUGCAGCUCUUGAUCCUGCAAAACAGUUGAGCAUUUGCUCUUGAUAUAAAGUAUGUGCUUAAUUUCUAACUAUUUCUGUGGCACUGCUUGUGUGUGUAGAACAAAGCCUACACUUUAUUUUUUCCUGUAUGAGAAUGAUGUGGCCCAGUAAAACCUUAUGGUUUCUUUAGUUAAGCCCAAUCGGUGUUGUUGGGGGUUGGGGGGAGAGUUGUUGGUCUUUUGUGAAGAAUUUUUCCCAUUAUCAUGUUAAGAAAGUCUAUGAGGUGACUCCCUUAGCUUUUAAUUGCUCAAGACAAAAGGGAUGGGUGGAGCUGUCUGGCUGGCUGAAUCGCUGGCGGGGUUUCUGGGGGUCUGGGUGGCUGGCCUUUUUUUUUUGCUAGCUUGGGAGACACUCGCAGGUCCGAUGCGAGGAGAGAGGUUUUUUCUCUGCGGUCGGAUUUGCCCUGCACCCUGCACUGCCUCUGAGACCACCGCGGAGGCCUGGGACCAAAAACGCAGAGAACAAGCAGCAACAUCCCAAAGGCAGCAGCUUCUGUGGAAAUUAAAGCAGAAGGUCAAUAAAGGUGGCUGAGUCACAACUCUCUUCCAGUUCAGGGGAUGUUUGUGGACAAAUCUUCCUGCUAUUUACUGAGCUCUACCAGCUGGAUUGCAAACACUCUUCAGUGGAUGAGCCAAAGCACUCCAAAGAAGGGACACCAUUGAUUUAGUUGCUGACAGCCACAGGGAUGGACUCAGAAGAACUGGAGUUGAAAACUGCUCUGGCCAUCCUGGGUAAAAUCAUGCAACUUGGAUUUUUUUGAUGUUAAAUUCAUGGCCAUGGUAUUUGAGUGCCUGCACUCAAUGAGUCCCAUUAAUGGACGUCUGGGGAGCAGUAUCCCUCUGUGUCCCAGGCUGCUCUAGGAUAGAUUAGUUUUGUAAUGCCAGUCCUUAGCUGUUAAAACAUUUAAAAGUGAAAUUGGUGUCUGAGGGACUCAUCAUUCCCCCACCCACUGCACACGAUUCUUCUGGAAACCAGCCAUUCCAUUGGUUUUCAUGCCCCAAUGUGUGGUUUUUUUCUCAAUGCUUUGAAGGUGACUUCAUUAUUGAGGCAAUGACACUGGCGCUGUGAGCCCAGAAUGAUAUGAAAGCCUGGCUUUGGCAAGCAGGACAUCUUGACUUGUAUCUUGGUAAAGCAGGGUCCUCUUGACUCUUUCUGCCUUUGUCCCUUUAGGUUUCAGGGAGUGUCCCUCUCUUGUCCUUCUCUUUAUGGGUGUCAGGUAUUAUUUGUCUUUUCUAGUCUCUACGUUCUGCUGCUAUCUGUGAAAAGGUUCAACAGUCUACCUGGGGUUCAGCUAUUAUCAAACUUGCAUCAUCCAUCAGUAAAAUCAAUUUACACCUCCUCCCAUCUCAUUAACUUUAUCCUUUACUUUCUGUCUGCUGAGGUUCAGGGUUACAUAAGAUCUGGGCCUUCCCUGUUUCUGAAAUGGCAGUACCUUUUUGGUGCCUGACAUUUCUUUUGGGAAAGUGACAUUAGAAUUAAACAGAAAGACCCUUUCUAAGUGCUAGGCUGUAAAUGAGAGAAGCGAGGUCAAAAAACAAAACUAUAAACUACUCUCAGGGAAACAAAUCAAUCCUCUACUAUGCACACUCCACUGAAUGUAGAGGAGCUUCAUUCAGGGGUAAAGGUGGAAAUACAGCAGACCUGGAAAAGGCAUUCACAGGAAGAAAAGGAGUAACACAAACUGAAAUUCAUCUGUGCUCUGGAAUAUCGUUUCUUUAAGCCCCGGACAACUAUUGCUUUCAUCAAAGUCCAUUCAUCCUGUAUUUUACUUCAUUUCCUUCUUAAUGGCUCAUCCUGAGCUCAUCUUUCCCUCAGUUCCCUUUGCCCUUUGCUGCUGCCUUCAGUCCUGCCAGGAACAUGCCUGUCUGAUCUGCUGGAAACAGGGCUGGCAGUAAAUGCUAAGGGGAAAGACAGCUUUGGUCUAAACUGGUUGUCUCGUUGUUCUACCCAAGAAUGCAAUGAGGAAUCUGCUGGGUUUUUUCUGACAAUUAAAGACUUUUACAAAAUUUCCUAUAUUUAAAUAAAAAGGAGGAAAAAGAAAUAAAGGUUAUUAUGAAGGUAUGUUAUCUUCAAACCAGGGAUUUGGCCAAAGUUCAGCCCCUGAGAUGAUAGAGAGAGGUAAUCGUGAUCUUGAAGAUGUGCACACAAGUUAUUAAAAAAUGGUGCUUACAGGAAAUACAGAUCAAGGAACUUCAGAGGAACUGUAACUACUGGAAUCUGACAGAGUGCUCCUGAGGGGCUGUACCAAGAUUCAUUACCUUUAUUAACCCAGGAUUAAUAAGGAUGUCAGGUCCUGCUCUGGGUACAAUCAAUUUGGGAAACUCCGGGCUUUCGUGAAUCAUCUUAUGACCAACCAGAGGUUCAUGUCAAUGUCCCAUGGCAAGUCCUGAAGAAAGAAACACGAAUGAGUCAGACAUGUCAAACAGCUCUUCACACCUCUGAAGCAGCUUCUGAAUUCCAGAAAAGGAGACAGCUCCAGUGUGUUCUCAAGGUCUUAUCACAGAAACUAAUUCACAGCUUGCACAAUGCCUACUAAAUACCGAGAAGGGCAGGAGAAUUCAAAGGAGUGGUGGUUGUGCAGCUGCAUGUUACUUCUUGAAGCCUGCAACAGAAAGGCAGACUGAAGGAGCUGGGGAAAGUUCUAGACUGGCUUUGCAGAACACACUUGACCAGUUAAACAGUUUGUUUGGCCUGCUAGGUGCUCAGGAGACCUGAGUGUGGCAUUUGGAUGGGUGGGUACCUGAGAGAGCUCCCUGUGCCUUCCACCAGCUACUGCAGGCGAGGUGUCCUCCCAGCCAGCACAUGCACACACCUCAGCUGUGCACCUGCCAAAAAAAGUGAGGUGUCACAGUUGGUGCAGGGGCAGAGCAGAGGGAGGGUAGCUGAGGAGACAAGGAAGAUGGAAGAGCAGAGGGAGUGACAGAGGCAGCUCUGGUAAGGUAUGACAGAAGGUGCAGUUUGAACUUGCUAAGCCUACUCACCCAGCUGCUGCAGCGAGGCGUUCCAGCCAAAAUCCAUGGCACCAAGGAGACUGGGCUGAGUCACCAAACUCACUCCUCUGCUGUGCCACGUAUGACACCAUGAAACUCCUGACAAAGUCUGCUUGCUUUGGUUUUGUCUCUGGGGUUCCCGUCGGGACACUCUUCCACAUCCUCCCUUUCUAAUAGGUACAGUCAUUUUCUGCUCCUUAUUUAGAGUUGGUUUGCCCUUACACGUAAAUCAUCCCUUAUCUCUCCAAGUUCUUUGCCCUGCCUGCUGAUGUAUUGACACACAGCAGUUAUAUCCACUCUGGCUGCACUUUGCAGGCUGUACAGUCUAAGGAGUAGUUCAGCCUGUCUAGGAGAGCUGAGUUGCACACACUGUAUAAUCAGAGUCUUUCAAAUGACAGCUAAAAAAUCCCGUGGACUUUCUGGUACCUUUCAUUCUGAGUAUUUAACCGGUGUCAAUCCUUCCUGAGUCCUUUUGUAGCAAAGCAUGUUCUUUGUAGCUGUCUUUUGCUGGAAGGAUGGGAAUCUCAAGCCCACAAAUCUCUGAGACUUCCAUAUACUUGGAGUUGUGCAUGUGCAUAACUGUUUUUCUGGAUCAAGAUUAGAGUUCUUAACACUUGACAAGAUUCAGCUUGUGGUUUGUGAAGUGCUGCCAGUUUAUCUGGAAUUAAAGAUUUAUAUAAAACAUCAAUUUUAAAAAAAGGCAAUUCCGUA